rnacentral:rRNA from 1 species
AACGAACGCUGGCGGCGUGCUUAACACAUGCAAGUCGAACGCGAAAGGGACUUCGGUCCUGAGUAAAGUGGCGCACGGGUGAGUAACGCGUAGAUAACCUGUCUUCAUGUCUGGAAUAAUACGCCGAAAGGGGUACUAAUACCGGAUAUUCUUGCUUUUUCAUAAGUUAUGCAAGCAAAGGUGGCCUCUGCAUAUGCUACUGCAUGAAGAGGGGUCUGCGUACCAUUAGCUAGUAGGUGGGGUAAUGGCCUACCUAGGCGACGAUGGUUAGCGGGUCUGAGAGGAUGAUCCGCCACACUGGCACUGGAACACGGGCCAGACUCCCACGGGAGGCAGCAGUGAGGAAUAUUGCGCAAUGGGGGAAACCCUGACGCAGCGACGCCGCGUGAGUGAGGGAAAGGCCUUCGGGUCGUAAAGCUCUGUCAAGAGGAAAGAAGUGUACAAUGGCUAAUACCUGUUGUAUUUGACGGUACCUCUAAAGGAAGCACCGGCUAACUCCGUGCCAGCAGCUGC